CACCACUGCACUGCAAUCUGGGCAACAGAGCAAGAUCCUUGACUCAAAGAAAGAAAGAAAGUGUUGAGAUCCAGACAGACUGAAAAGGAUCUCUUAUCUCAAAGGCCAUGUUUUUCCUUCUAUCCCUCCCAUUUGCCUGCCCUCAGCAAGGUAGUUGCUUCUUGCAUUUGGCAUUACCCAAAGGUCUGUUAAUGAACUUACCCUUGCCGUGUUGUGGUGUUUUCUCCCCUCUCCAGACUGCAAGCUACAUGAGAGCAGAGCCCUUGCUUGUCUUAUUCAUCUUCAUAGUCACAGCAGUUGCCUCCCAGUAUGCAGUAAAUCUUUGUUGAACAAAUAAAUGCACAGAGGAAAACUUUAUUCUGCAACUUAAGGGAAGUUGAAGCUCUGAAAUGAAUGCCAGCCACUCAGAGACUGAUAGAAGAAGAACUCUAGGAAAGAGGUCCCUCACUUUACCACAUGGAUCACAGGCAGCGCCUUGGAAAGGAAAAAUGCCUUUGUUUAUACCUGUGAGACAUAAUUCUUGGGUAUGUAAUGCAUUUACUGAGUAAAUAUUAUUCACCCUGUUUCUGAGAAGAUUCAGUAAAGGUAGGAAACUUAAAAAUGUUCAUUCCAGAGGUUUUAUGAAUUAUUUCUACUUCAUGGAUUGAUUGCUGAUCAGCUGAAUAAAUCAUCUGUCUUUGCCUUCUUUUAAUGACUGAAUCUAGUCACCAUUCAUUGUCGUUUGGGUAUUUGGAUGUCCAGCCUAAAUCAAUAGCCUAUCUAGUUUACUGAGAGACAAGUAUAGAUAAAAAUUAUCAUUGUUUUAACAGAGGACACGGUCUUAUCACCAAGGAGAAUAUCUUCAGAGUCUCUAAUAGUUUAGCAAUCUGCAAACUGAUUACAAUUGGACAAUACCCAGAGACCCCUUAACAUUCUAAUUGUAUCCUCAUGGAAUAAAUUUAUUUCUAUCCUAAUAUUGCUUAGAAAAGAAAUUGCAUAUUCUGUGUUAAUGUGCUGAUAUUCCAUCCACCUCCCCCAUUCAGUAGUAAUAUUUUUCUUCAGCAUUUUACAAAUGAAGGUAAAAUUGGUAUUUGUAGUAUAAUUUCCUGUAUACAUUUCCAGUUAAUUGAAUUUUGCUUCGGUAAUGUAUGGCUCUGAAUGAAAGAUACAUGUGUGAGUAAUAUCAGCAAGGGAAGUUUAAUUUCCAUUCAGCUUGAGUUCUGCUUAUUUCUAUGUGUUCUUUCUUCCUACUUUGCUGCCUGUCAUUUCCCUUAUCCAUGAAGAUGACUGGAAAAUGUGCCAUGGUUACUGAUGGUUGUACAGGUUCCUUCGUCCUAAUGGAAUGUGACAAAACAUAGAAACGGUUAGAUGGACUCCACCUAUACAGGUUGGGAGAUGGCAAAGCAGAAAAUAAAUGAGGAAAGUAAAAAGUUGAAACAUACUUCUUAAAAUCUUCCAUAGUGCUUUUAUGUGGGGGAAUAUGUUUGUGUUAAAUUAUAUGAAGAAUAUGUACAAGUUUAGUGUAUGCAUGUAUAUAUUUAUGUUAUGGAUACUAGUGAACUUUGGAUGAUCGGUUUGCAUUUUCCAGUCCAAGGUAACCUGGUGCUGCCACUUCAGGACCUGCUGGUCAUGCUGAAGAGAAGCAUUAAUUGGAAUAUAUUCAGCAUAUAAAGAGAGCUGAGGAAUAGGAGUAAUUGAAUACAGGCUAUGUUUUUCUGCUUUUAAAAAUUUGUAUCAUGAAAAUAUAUAGGUUACACAGUUGGCUUUUAGGCAUAAUUGUGGACAUACCUUUGAUUCUUCAGCUAAACAUUUUAGGUUGGCCUGUCCAGACUAAAAAGGAAUGCAGUUCCAUUCUCGAGAAAAACAAAGUGUUACAAAGACUGGCCUAUUUCCAACCAAGUUUUAUGUGAGCUUAAAUGUGUUAAUUGUAGAACUGUUAAGGGUUUUUUCCCCUGCUUUCCUUUUAAAUCAAUAUCAAAUUAAACCUAAGUAAGUGGAAUUGUCAAGGCAACAACUAGCAUAUAGUUUUUCAAGGAAAACACUUGACUGAGGAAAGAAUAACCAGUAUUGUUAAAAUGAAUUUGCAGAAAAGCAGCAUUUUGUAAAAUAAGCAUUAUGAGCUUGCAGGGUGUGGUGGGAAAAAAGCCUAGUCUUUGAGUUCGAGCACUGCCUAAUGGUUCCUUCAUUAGUGACAUUUGCAUGCAUCCUGGGGCCCGACAUUGUACUCUGGUUUAGGAAUGCAGUAACAAAUACAUUUAGCUGGCAGAAUGGCUCACACUUGUAAUCCCAGCCGAUUAGGAGGCCAAGGUGGGAGGAUCACUUUAGCCUAGGAG